rnacentral:rRNA from 1 species
GCCCCUAGCUAUAAAAUUAUGCAGACUGUGGUGUUGCAGCGGCUUCGUGCCGUUGCAGUGCCGUAGCGUAGGUGUGAAGUCUGCCGCCUGGGGAGUACGGCCGCAAGGUUGAAACUUAUUAACGAGAGACAUCUUAUUUAGUCGACGUUAGGUUAAAAGGAAUUGGCGGGGGAGCACCACAAGGGGUGGAUGCUGCGGUUCAAUUGGAUACAACGCCGGGAACAUUACCCAGAGCGACGGCAGUAUGAAGGCCAGACUA